rnacentral:rRNA from 1 species
UACGGGGGGGGCAAGCGUUGUUCGGAAUUACUGGGCGUAAAGGGCUCGUAGGCGGCCAACUAAGUCAGACGUGAAAUCCCUCGGCUUAACCGGGGAACUGCAUCUGAUACUGGAUGGCUUGAGUUCGGGAGAGGGAUGCGGAAUUCCAGGUGUAGCGGUGAAAUGCGUAGAUAUCUGGAGGAACACCGGUGGCGAAGGCGGCAUCCUGGACCGGUAUUGACGCUGAGGAGCGAAAGCCAGGGGAGCAAACGGG